rfam:Pteropus alecto contig162315, whole genome shotgun sequence.
GUCUACGGCUACCCUGAACAAGCCCGAUCCCGUCUGAUCUCGGAAGCUAAGCGGGGAUGGGCCUGGUUAGUACUUGGAUGGGAGACCACCUAGGAAGAUCAGGUGCUGUAGGUA